rnacentral:rRNA from 1 species
AUUGAACGCUGGCGGCGUGCCUAACACAUGCAAGUCGAGCGGUAACAGGUGUAGCAAUACAUGCUGACGAGCGGCGAACGGGUGAGUAAUGCUUCGGAAUCUACCCAAUGGUGGGGAAUAACCAGCCGAAAGGUUGGCUAAUACCGCAUACGUCCUACGGGAGAAAGCAGGGGAUCGUAAGACCUUGCGCCAAUGGAUGAGCCGAAGUCGGAUUAGCUAGUUGGAGGGUAACGGCCUACCAAGGCGACGAUCCGUAGCUGGUCUGAGAGGACGACCAGCCACACUGGGACUGAGACACGGCCCAGACUCCUACGGGAGGCAGCAGUGGGGAAUCUUGUACAAUGCACG